GAUGAAGAACGUAGCGAAAUGCGAUACUUGGCGUGAAUUGCAGAAUCCCGUGAACCAUCGAGUCUUUGAACGCAAGUUGCGCCCGAAGCCAUCAGGUUGAGGGCACGUCUGCCUGGGCGUCACAUAUCGUUGCCCAAUGCCUAUUGCAGUGCAAUAGGAAUUUCUAGGGCGAAUGAUGGCUUCCCGUGAGCGUUGUUGCCUCGCGGUUGGUUGAAAAUCGAGUCCUUGGUAGGGUGUGCCAUGGUAGAUGGUGGUCGAGUUAGGACGAUACCGAUCAUGUGCAUGCUCCCCAAAAUAUGGCCUCUAUGACCCACACGCGUCUUUUGACGCUCAUGACGAGACCUCAGGUCAGGCGGGGCUACCCGCUGAAUUUAAGCAUAUCAAUAAGCGGAGGA
rnacentral:misc_RNA from 1 species